rnacentral:rRNA from 1 species
UACGUAGGGGGCAAGCGUUGUCCGGAAUCAUUGGGCGUAAAGAGCGUGUAGGCGGCCCGAUAAGUCCGCUGUGAAAGUCCAGGGCUCAACCCUGGGAUGCCGGUGGAUACUGUCGGGCUCGAGUCCGGAAGAGGCGAGUGGAAUUCCUGGUGUAGCGGUGAAAUGCGCAGAUAUCAGGAGGAACACCAAUGGCGAAGGCAGCUCGCUGGGACGUGACUGACGCUGAGGAGCGAAAGCGUGGGGAGCAAACAGG